rnacentral:rRNA from 1 species
AGCGGGAAAAGCUCAAAUUUAAAAUCUGGCGUCCUCCGGGCGUCCGAGUUGUAAUCUGGAGAAGCGUUUUCCGCGUCGGACCGUGUACAAGUCUUCUGGAACGGAGCGUCAUAGAGGGUGAGAAUCCCGUCUCUGACACGGACUACCGAUGCUUUUGUGAUGCGCUCUCGAAGAGUCGAGUUGUUUGGGAAUGCAGCUCAAAAUGGGUGGUAAAUUCCAUCUAAAGCUAAAUAUUGGCCAGAGACCGAUAGCGAACAAGUACCGUGAGGGAAAGAUGAAAAGCACUUUGGAAAGAGAGUUAAACAGUACGUGAAAUUGUUGAAAGGGAAACGCUUGAAGUCAGUCGCGUUGGCCGAGACUCAGCCUGGCUUGCCUGGUGUACUUCUCGGUUGACGGGUCAGCAUCAGUUUUGACCGUCGGAUAAAGGUUGGAGGAAUGUGGCAUCCCUCGGGAUGUGUUAUAGCCUCUGAUUCGCAUACGGCGAUUGGGACUGAGGAACUCAGCACGCCUUUAUGGUCGGGGUUCGCCCACGUAACGUGCUUAGGAUGCUGGCAUAAUGGCUUUAAGCGACCCGUCUUGAAACACGGACCAAGGAGUCUAACAUGCCCGCGAGUGUUUGGGUGUUAAACCCGAGCGCGUAAUGAAAGUGAAAGUUGAGAUCC